AGGCUUAGAGACGGAGAGACAAAGGAGGGAAUGGGAGAGCACAAAGGGAGCGGGAAUGAAAUGGAGCCUGCUUCCAGCCAUGUGAAGAUGCCUGCUGCAGCCUCGCCUUCUGCCUUGAAUAAAAGCUCCCUCAGGCCUCCCCAGAAAAAGAUGCUGCCAUGCUUCCUGUACAGCCUGCAGAACAUGAGAAGGAAGCAUAUGAAUGUUCAGAGAAGAUAAAGUCUAUGUACGCCAUAAAGGAGACAAUGGAAAAGGGGCCUUGAAGUAAAGGUGGAAUUGGCCAGGCAAGAAGGAUAAAGAAGACUAUUAUAGCCCUGGAAAAUAGUAUAAACAAAGACAGUCAGUUCUGCUCUAAGUCUUGUUUUGAAAACAUGAAUUUGUUCCAACCCAAUUCAUAUAUUAGGGAGCAAUCUAAGUGUAAUACAGAUUUUGCAUUUGCUGGUGCAUGGUUUUUCCCUGAGAAACACCAGAUGAAUGGAGAAAACUCUACUGAGCUGAACCAAACAGGGCAGAAGUACACAAAAUGUACACAAGGACACCUCUCAAAUUCCUACCACCUGAGUUUACAGGGUGUGUUAGAAACCCUCUUUCCACCACUUCAUAGGAACUCAUAAGCUGCACCCCUUCCAACGACCAGCUCCAUAUACAAAAUUAAUGUCUGUUUCAGGAUACUCUGCCAUAUUUAUUGCAGCAUGUAUCUAUUUCUUAACCAUUUAAUGUGUGAACUGUGCUACAACUUUAUUAGAUUCCUAUCUUUUUUGUUGUUAUAUUGACAAAACUUCUCAAUGUUGUAACCUCUAACUAUUUUUCCCAUUAGCCCUAUAGUUUUGUUUUUGUUGUUGUUGUUUUGUUUUGUGAGAUGGAGUCUUGCUCUGUUGCCAGGCUGGAGUGCAGUGGCACAAUCUCGGCUCACUGCAACCUCUGCCUCUGGGGUUCAAGCAAUUCUCCUGCCUCAGCCUCCUAAGUAGCUGGGAUUACAGGAGCAUGCCACCACCCCUGGCUAAUUUUUGUAUUUUUAGUAGAGACGGGGUUUCACCAUGUUGGCCAGGAUGGUCUCCAACUCCUGACCUUGUGGUCCACCCACCUCGGCCUCCCACAGUGUUGGGAUUACAGGCGUGAGACCAGACAGCCCUAUAGUUGUUCUUGGCAUGGUUUUUGCAUAACAGGGUGAUUUUAGGAGCAUAGAUGUUGUGCUAUAGCAAAACUGACUGCAGGGGUUAUGGAAUAAAAAUCUUGGAGAACUGUAA
rnacentral:lncRNA from 1 species